rnacentral:tRNA from 1 species
GGCUCGGUGAUGGAAUGGCAGACAUGCAGGUCUUAGAAGCCUGUCUCCGUAAUGGGGGUGCGGGUUCAAGUCCCGCCCGAGCCA